rnacentral:tRNA from 1 species
UCCCAGGUGGCUCGGUGGUAGAGUCUGCCUGCCAAGCAGAAGGCCCAGAUUCAAUCCCUGGGUCGGGAA